ensembl:Mt_tRNA
GAGAAAGCUUAUAAGAACUGCUAAUUCAUAUCCCCAUGCCUAACAACAUGGCUUUCUCA